AAGACCUUGCGCUUUUGGAGCGGCCGAUGCCUGAUUAGCUUGUUGGUAAGGUAAAAGCUUACCAAGGCUUCGAUCAGUAGCUGGUCUGAGAGGACGGCCAGCCACACUGGGACUGAGACACGGCCCAGACUCCUACGGGAGGCAGCAGUGGGGAAUUUUGGACAAUGGGGGCAACCCUGAUCCAGCCAUGCCGCGUGAGUGAAGAAGGCCUUCGGGUUGUAAAGCUCUUUCAGCCGGAACGAAACGGUUACGGUUAAUACCCGUGAUUACUGACGGUACCGGAAGAAGAAGCACCGGCUAACUACGUGCCAGCAGCCGCGGUAAUACGUAGGGUGCGAGCGUUAAUCGGAAUUACUGGGCGUAAAGSGUGCGCAGGUGGUUUUGUAAGUCAGAUGUGAAAGCCCCGGGCUCAACCUGGGAACU
rnacentral:rRNA from 1 species